UACGGAGGGUGCAAGCGCUAUCCGGAUUCACUGGGUUUAAAGGGUGCGUAGGUGGGCAGGUAAGUCAGUGGUGAAAUCUCCGGGCUUAACCCGGAAACUGCCAUUGAUACUAUCUGUCUUGAAUACCCUGGAGGUGAGCGGAAUAUGUCAUGUAGCGGUGAAAUGCUUAGAUAUGACAUAGAACACCCAUUGCGAAGGCAGCUCACUACGGGAAUAUUGACACUGAGGCACGAAAGCGUGGGGAUCAAACAGG
rnacentral:rRNA from 1 species